rnacentral:rRNA from 1 species
GGUUAAGCGACUAAGCGUACACGGUGGAUGCCCUGGCAGUCAGAGGCGAUGAAGGACGUGCUAAUCUGCGAUAAGCGUCGGUAAGGUGAUAUGAACCGUUAUAACCGGCGAUUUCCGAAUGGGGAAACCCAGUGUGUUUCGACACACUAUCAUUAACUGAAUCCAUAGGUUAAUGAGGCGAACCGGGGGAACUGAAACAUCUAAGUACCCCGAGGAAAAGAAAUCAACCGAGAUUCCCCCAGUAGCGGCGAGCGAACGGGGAGCAGCCCAGAGCCUGAAUCAGUGUGUGUGUUAGUGGAAGCGUCUGGAAAGGCGCGCGAUACAGGGUGACAGCCCCGUACACAAAAAUGCACAUGCUGUGAGCUCGAUGAGUAGGGCGGGACACGUGGUAUCCUGUCUGAAUAUGGGGGGACCAUCCUCCAAGGCUAAAUACUCCUGACUGACCGAUAGUGAACCAGUACCGUGAGGGAAAGGCGAAAAGAACCCCGGCGAGGGGAGUGAAAAAGAACCUGAAACCGUGUACGUACAAGCAGUGGGAGCACGCUUAGGCGUGUGACUGCGUACCUUUUGUAUAAUGGGUCAGCGACUUAUAUUCUGUAGCAAGGUUAACCGAAUAGGGGAGCCGAAGGGAAACCGAGUCUUAACUGGGCGUUAAGUUGCAGGGUAUAGACCCGAAACCCGGUGAUCUAGCCAUGGGCAGGUUGAAGGUUGGGUAACACUAACUGGAGGACCGAACCGACUAAUGUUGAAAAAUUAGCGGAUGACUUGUGGCUGGGGGUGAAAGGCCAAUCAAACCGGGAGAUAGCUGGUUCUCCCCGAAAGCUAUUUAGGUAGCGCCUCGUGAAUUCAUCUCCGGGGGUAGAGCACUGUUUCGGCAAGGGGGUCAUCCCGACUUACCAACCCGAUGCAAACUGCGAAUACCGGAGAAUGUUAUCACGGGAGACACACGGCGGGUGCUAACGUCCGUCGUGAAGAGGGAAACAACCCAGACCGCCAGCUAAGGUCCCAAAGUCAUGGUUAAGUGGGAAACGAUGUGGGAAGGCCCAGACAGCCAGGAUGUUGGCUUAGAAGCAGCCAUCAUUUAAAGAAAGCGUAAUAGCUCACUGGUCGAGUCGGCCUGCGCGGAAGAUGUAACGGGGCUAAACCAUGCACCGAAGCUGCGGCAGCGACGCUUAUGCGUUGUUGGGUAGGGGAGCGUUCUGUAAGCCUGCGAAGGUGUGCUGUGAGGCAUGCUGGAGGUAUCAGAAGUGCGAAUGCUGACAUAAGUAACGAUAAAGCGGGUGAAAAGCCCGCUCGCCGGAAGACCAAGGGUUCCUGUCCAACGUUAAUCGGGGCAGGGUGAGUCGACCCCUAAGGCGAGGCCGAAAGGCGUAGUCGAUGGGAAACAGGUUAAUAUUCCUGUACUUGGUGUUACUGCGAAGGGGGGACGGAGAAGGCUAUGUUGGCCGGGCGACGGUUGUCCCGGUUUAAGCGUGUAGGCUGGUUUUCCAGGCAAAUCCGGAAAAUCAAGGCUGAGGCGUGAUGACGAGGCACUACGGUGCUGAAGCAACAAAUGCCCUGCUUCCAGGAAAAGCCUCUAAGCAUCAGGUAACAUCAAAUCGUACCCCAAACCGACACAGGUGGUCAGGUAGAGAAUACCAAGGCGCUUGAGAGAACUCGGGUGAAGGAACUAGGCAAAAUGGUGCCGUAACUUCGGGAGAAGGCACGCUGAUAUGUAGGUGA